GAUGAACGCUAGCGGCAGGCUUAAUACAUGCAAGUCGAGGGGCAGCACGAAUAGCAAUAUUUGGUGGCGACCGGCGCACGGGUGCGUAACACGUAUACAACCUACCUAUAACAGGGGGAUAGCCUUUCGAAAGAGAGAUUAAUACCCCGUAAUAAAUUGAGUGGCAUCACUUGAUUUUGAAAGCUACGGCGGUUAUAGAUGGGUAUGCGUCUGAUUAGCUAGUUGGUGAGGUAACGGCUCACCAAGGCGACGAUCAGUAGGGGAUCUGAGAGGACUAACCCCCACACUGGUACUGAGACACGGACCAGACUCCUACGGGAGGCAGCAGUAAGGAAUAUUGGUCAAUGGAGGCAACUCUGAACCAGCCAUGCCGCGUGCAGGAUGACGGCCCUAUGGGUUGUAAACUGCUUUUGUACCAGAGAAAACCUACUCACGUGUGAGUAGCUGA
rnacentral:rRNA from 1 species